AACCCAAAAAUUUCAGAUUUCGGGUUGGCAAAACUUUAUGAUGACAAAAAGACUCAUAUAAACACUCGUGUUGCAGGCACAAUGUAAGAUCCUCAAAAUUGAGGAUGUGUCAUAUUGUUUUACUCCUUUCCUAUAGUUUUGUUUCAUGAAUCUAGUGCAUAUUUUCUUGUAGAGGGUAUCUUGCACCAGAAUAUGCCAUGCGCGGACAUUUGACAGAAAAGCACUCCUUACCUAUAGUUUUGUUUCAUGAAUCUAGUGCAUAUUUUCUUGUAGAGGGUAUCUUGCACCAGAAUAUGCGAUGCGCGGACAU
rnacentral:lncRNA from 1 species